rnacentral:misc_RNA from 1 species
GAUGAAGAACGUAGCAAAAUGCGAUACCUGGUGUGAAUUGCAGAAUCCCGUGAACCAUCGAGUCUUUGAACGCAAGUUGCGCCUCAAGCCAUUAGGUUGAGGGCACGUCUGCCUGGGCGUCACAUAUCGUUGCCUGAUGCCAGUUUCCUCGUGAUGGGUGACUGUGCAGGGCGAAUGAUGGCUUCCCGUGAGCAUUGUUGCCUCAUGGUUGGUUGAAAAUUGAGUCCUUGGUAGGGAGCGCCGUGAUAGAUGGUGGUUGAGUGACGAACGAGACCCAAUCAUGUGAGACCCCUACCGAAUUUGGCCUUCAUGACCCACAUGCGUCUUUGGAACGCUCAUGACGAGACCUCAGGUCAGGCGGGGCUACCCGCUGAGUUUAAGCAUAUCAAUAAGCGGAGGA